CAUUAGGGCCUAAAUACCCUACAGAGGUUAAAUCGCAUCUGAUCUUGGAAGCUAAGCAGGCUCAGCCCUGGUUAGUACUUGGAUGAGAGACCAUAAAUGAAUACCAGGUGCUGGAGGAU
rfam:Anolis carolinensis unplaced genomic scaffold chrTn0150, whole genome shotgun sequence.